rnacentral:rRNA from 1 species
CGGACGGGUGAGUAAUGUCUGGGAAACGUGCCUGAUGGAGGGGGGUAACUACUGGAAACGGUAGCUAAUACCGCAUAACGUCGCAAGACCAAAGAGGGGGAACCUUCGGGCCUCUUGCCAUCGGAUGUGCCCAGAUGGGAUUAGCUAGUAGGUGGGGUAACGGCUCACCUAGGCGACGAUCCCUAGCUGGCUGAGAGGAUGACCAGCCACACUGGAACUGAGACACGGUCCAG